rnacentral:rRNA from 1 species
GACAGAGGGUGCAAACGUUGUUCGGAAUUACUGGGCGCAAAGCGCGUGUAGGCGGCCCUGCAAGUCGGGUGUGAAAUCCCACGGCUCAACCGUGGAAGUGCACUCGAAACUGCAGGGCUAGAGUCCUGGAGAGGAAGGUGGAAUGCUUGGUGUAGCGGUGAAAUGCGUAGAUAUCAAGAGGAACACCUGAGGUGAAGACGGGUUGCUGGGCUGACACUGACGCUGAGGCGCGAAAGCUAGGGGAGCAAACGGGAUUAGAAACCCCCAGUAGU